GAACGGCAGCACAGUCGUAGCAAUACGAUGGGUGGCGAGUGGCGGACGGGUGAGGAAUACAUCGGGACCUACCUAGACGUGGGGGAUAACGUAGGGAAACUUACGCUAAUACCGCAUACGUCCUACGGGAGAAAGCGGGGGAUCUUCGGACCUCGCGCGGUUAGACGGACCGAUGUUCGAUUAGCUAGUUGGUGAGGUAAUGGCUCACCAAGGCGACGAUCGAUAGCUGGUCUGAGAGGAUGAUCAGCCACACUGGGACUGAGACACGGCCCAGACUCCUACGGGAGGCAGCAGUGGGGAAUAUUGGACAAUGGGCGCAAGCCUGAUCCAGCAAUGCCGCGUGUGUGAAGAAGGCCUUCGGGUUGUAAAGCACUUUUAUCAGGAGCGAAAUACCAUCGGCUAAUACCCGGUGGGGCUGACGGUACCUGAGGAAUAAGCACCGGCUAACUUCGUGCCAGCAGCCGCGGUAAUACGAAGGGUGCAAGCGUUAAUCGGAAUUACUGGGCGUAAAGCGUGCGUAGGCGGUGAGUUAAGUCUGCUGUGAAAUCCCCGGGCUCAACCUGGGAAUGGCAGUGGAUACUGGCUCGCUAGAGUGUGAUAGAGGAUGGUGGAAUUCCCGGUGUAGCGGUGAAAUGCGUAGAGAUCGGGAGGAACAUCAGUGGCGAAGGCGGCCAUCUGGAUCAACACUGACGCUGAGGCACGAAAGCGUGGGGA
rnacentral:rRNA from 1 species